rnacentral:rRNA from 1 species
AGCAUUAUCCUUGUCACCCUGCAGCCUAAGACCGGUCACUCACUGAAGCUAAGCAGAGCUUAGCCUGGCCAGUACCUGGAUGAGAGAUCACAUCGGAAAAACUAGGUUGCUGUUGAAA